GACGAGGGAGCUAGCGUUGUUCGGAAUUACUGGGCGUAAAGCGCACGUAGGCGGCGAUCUAAGUCAGAGGUGAAAGCCUGGAGCUCAACUCCAGAACUGCCUUUGAGACUGGAUUGCUAGAAUCCGGGAGAGGUGAGUGGAAUUCCGAGUGUAGAGGUGAAAUUCGUAGAUAUUCGGAAGAACACCAGUGGCGAAGGCGGCUCACUGGACCGGCAUUGACGCUGAGGUGCGAAAGCGUGGGGAGCAAACAGG
rnacentral:rRNA from 1 species